CCGUCAUGCGUUUGUUUCAGAUGAAUAAAUAACUGCACCAUGGAAACAAUGUCAUUUGCAAACUUUUUGAACCUGUGCUGGGCGUUCACAUUGACAUUUCUUGUUCAACAGGAAUACAUGAUGUCGACCAACAGUACAGCUAGAUGAAGAUAUAAAUUUAUUCAAAGAAAUAAUGGGACAAUGAAUGCUAAAAUUGCCAAGAAGAAGACUGCCAAUUUACACACCAUUUUGUACAGUUACAGUAUGAUAUGGUGAACAAAAUGCCCUCAAUGCAGCCAGUUCUGGAGCUUUGGCUAGACUAUGAACAGUAGACAUCGAAAGAUGAUCAUCUGAAGGGCCACAAUUGUUUAAAGCACUGGUCAACAAAAACUGAACUAUUUGAUGGAUCAUACAUGUGCAGAAUGUACUACCAUAUUUCCAGAAUCAGAGAAAUAGAAAUAUCAAGUAUUAAAGAGAAAGAAAAGAAUGCAUCAUGUAUGAAGAACU